ACAGGCACGGUAUGUGGCAAAUACAGUGUUUUUGAACCUUAAAUCGUGUAUACACAUUGCAUUACAUCUAAAACAAACCGUAAUAUUCGUUUUAGCCGUGUCAUAUCACCCCUUUAAAAGUGACACUCAAAAGCCAGAAACAAGAAAUCUCAGAGGGCAAACACAACAGAGGACACAAAACACGCACUGCACCAACGCUGGAGAGACUAAAGGACAUGUGGGAACUAUAAAGAUUAACAAGGUGGAGACAUUAUUUCUUCCUGAGCUGCAAAGCUUGAAUGGGGCAGAAUUACACCCCAUUGCAGUCACUUACAUGGGUGUGAGUCAGCGUUCCCUUAUUUUAAGGACGAGUGCUCACACAAGAGAGUCUUUGUUAUGGGCCUUUAGUGAAAGAAUGACUCCACUUUUCAACAUAAUGGUACGGUGCAUGCACCGUUUUGAUCAUGGUCUGACAAAAAAAAUGUGUUUUUGUCUUUAGACAAAAAAGGCAAAAUUCCUUAACAUUCACGUUUUAAUGUACUUGUUGUAUUGACAUAUGGUGUACAUUAACAGCAGCAUCCUGAAGUGUUUUUCAUGCGUCUUUUCACCUGAUCCUCCUAAAUACUAACUUUUGGGCACGUUUAUGUAUGGUGUCACACUAACAUAUUUAUUGUUUUGGUAAAUUGCUGUGAAAGAAACAAUUGAUUGCAGCAUUGCUUCCAUCUAGUGGACAUGCACUCAAAUAACAUGUGAUGUGGUGUAGUCUAAUCUUUCUACCCGAAAAACGUGUUUAACUAGUUCAAAUCGACUGAGAUUUAUUUGUGUUCACAGAGGACUGGGAAAAGCAAAUGAACAUUGUCCCUGUUUGUUGGUAAACCGUGGAUUUGAGAGUGAACACGUUUUGGUUCAAGCUUUGGUUCAGCAUAAAUGACGCAUCAAGUUUUAUUUUAUUUAAUCCUCUUAUUUAAUAAUAAUGAUAUUUUAUAAAAACAGUAGGCGAGAUGUACCUGUUUAGCUAACUGCCACUGAGAUGAAUACUUUGCUAUGCUAUGCCAUAAAGCCACUCAGAGUGGCUGUAUAUAAAUGUACUGUACCUCAAAAGAAACCAUCCUCGAUGCAUUGCUGUUUAGCAAACGUGUAACGUUAGGACUGCACGCGAAAAAACCUCACCAGAUAUCGUGAGUUUGAGAAAUUCACAAAACUGCAACUCGUCUGUCUUCUCCGCGUUGUUAUGAUUCUAAAAGCAGCUGAGGCGUCUCUCGUUAUGACGUCAGUUCUAUCUACUGUAUAAAGCUUGUUUAUCACAUUUUAUUUCAGCUGGAGCAUUGGUUUUUCUGUCAUCUGGAUAAAAUAUCAUGUAAGACGAAGUGCUAACGUUACGCGCGUGGCUUGACGAAGAAUGUUAGACUUUAUUCACUCAUCAACAUUGAACAUUAGCCUUGGUUUCAUAGGAGGCACGCGUCCGGACGUCCCAAAGUUAACGUCCGAUCGGUAGUAAUAUAACCAUUUAUUUUAUAUUUAAUUUAUGAUAAUAUUAAUGCAUAUUACAUUUACUGUAUUAAAUUAAAACUACUUAACAUUUAUUGAUUCUUUGCCGAGGUCUACCGGAAGUUAAUUUGGGCGGGCUACACGUAACGUUCCGUUUGUUUUUGUUGCCGCCGCUGAAACCGUAUAUAUAUACAGGAUGUAGGCCCGGUUUCACAGACAAGGCUUAAUGCUAGUCCCAGACUAAAAUGAAUGCGUGACCUGUCUUAACUCAAUAUAACUUGCCCAGAAAUAUCUUAAAAUAAACCAGCGCCAUUGUUUUGUCUCAAGAUGCACACCAGUAAUGUAUUCUUCUCAGGCAUUUUAUAAAAGCGACAUAAAUAUCUUAAUUCAACUAAGGCAUAGUCCUGGCUUAAGUUAAGCCGUGUCUGUGAAAUCGGGCCAUAGUGUU